GACGAACGCUGGCGGCGUGCUUAACACAUGCAAGUCGAACGGAAAGGCCCUGCUUUUGUGGGGUGCUCGAGUGGCGAACGGGUGAGUAACACGUGAGUAACCUGCCCUUGACUUUGGGAUAACUUCAGGAAACUGGGGCUAAUACCGGAUAGGAGCUCCUGCUGCAUGGUGGGGGUUGGAAAGUUUCGGCGGUUGGGGAUGGACUCGCGGCUUAUCAGCUUGUUGGUGGGGUAGUGGCUUACCAAGGCUUUGACGGGUGGCCGGCCUGAGAGGGUGACCGGCCACAUUGGGACUGAGAUACGGCCCAGACUCCUACGGGAGGCAGCAGUGGGGAAUAUUGCACAAUGGGCUGAAGCCUGAUGCAGCAACGCCGCGUGCGGUAUGACGGCCUUCGGGUUGUAAUCCGCUUUCGCCUGUGACGAAGCGUGAGUGACGGUAAUGGGUAAAGAAGCACCGGCUAACUACGUG
rnacentral:rRNA from 1 species